GGCUUCAUGGUCUAGCGGUAUGAUUCCUGCGUACGUUGCAGGAGGCCCCGGGUUCGAAUCCCGGUGGAGCCC
rnacentral:tRNA from 1 species